UACGUAGGGGGCAAGCGUUGUUCGGAGUUACUGGGCGUAAAGGGUGUGUAGGCGGUUGUUUAAGUUUGGUGUGAAAUCUCCCGGCUCAACUGGGAGGGUGCGCCGAAUACUGAAUGACUUGGAGUGCGGGAGAGGAGAGUGGAAUUCCUGGUGUAGCGGUGAAAUGCGUAGAUAUCAGGAGGAACACCGGUGGCGAAGGCGGCUAUCUGGACAGAGUCUGACGCUGAGGCGCGAAAGCUAGGGGAGCAAACAGG
rnacentral:rRNA from 1 species